AUUGAACGCUGGCGGCAGGCUUAACACAUGCAAGUCGAGCGGGGGAAGGUAGCUUGCUACCGGACCUAGCGGCGGACGGGUGAGUAAUGCUUAGGAAUCUGCCUAUUAGUGGGGGACAACAUCUCGAAAGGGAUGCUAAUACCGCAUACGUCCUACGGAAGAAAGCAGGGGAUCUUCGGACCUUGCGCUAAUAGAUGAGCCUAAGGCAGAUUAGCUAGUUGGUGGGGUAAAGGCCUACCAAGGCGACGAUCUGUAGCGGGUCUGAGAGGGUGACCCGCCACACUGGGACUGAGACACGGCCCAGAGUCCUACGGGAGGCAGCAGUGGGGAAUAUUGGACAAGGGGGGGAACCCUGUGCCAGCCAUGCCGCGUGUGUGAAGAAGGCAUUAUGGUUGUAAAGCACUUUAAGCGAGGAGGAGGCUACUUUAGUUAAUACCUAGAGAUAGUGGACGUUACUCGCAGAAUAAGCACCGGCUAACUCUGUGCCAGCAGCCGCGGUAA
rnacentral:rRNA from 1 species